AGUCUGUUUCAGGGCGGAGUGAAAUUCUCCACUGGCGGUAAUGAGGGGGAUCCCUUUAGUCCGCGAGCCGGAUUUCCGGCACGAUUUGGUGCGAUUCCAAAACCAACGGUAUAGUCCGGAUAAAAGAAACAAAUG
rnacentral:ncRNA from 2 species